rnacentral:lncRNA from 1 species
GGAGGGUGCGCUUAUCCAGUGGCUGGAGUAGGCCAGGGGUUUGCCCCCUGCUCUGACAGUUUCUCUGGAGUGCUGGUGUGCCACCUGGAAGCAUUCACAUUCGGUCACUUUAUUAUCCAGGGUUGCCCUGGGAGUUUGGCAGGAGAGAGGGAGCAAAAUGGGAGAGUGAGGGAAGCAUAUCACUGGAGAGGGAAGUAGAGAUGUGAUAUGAUCUGCAGAACACCGUGCUCUGUCCUCAGUGCCCCCUCCCCAGAGGCUCCAACCCCUUCUGAGAACACAAUGAUCAGCCUCCUGUUCCUCACUGGCUUCUUCUUUGGACCUGGAUUUCCACAGCAGACCUGGAGGCCAUCACCGAGUAAUAUGGAGUCUACAAAGAGAUCAGUCCGUUGGAAGCCCUCCAGGAGCCCACCACUUAGAAGAGACCGACAAAAUGAACUCUGCUGUAAGG